UAUCCAUAUAAUGUCACGUCUCAUGACCGGUCUCAUUGACAGUGGUCUUCUGUCACCACUGUAUCCCCAAAUUAUUGUUUCUAUCUUUUUGUUGCAUAGCUACAGCUCACUUCAUCAUCCUAGGUAUGCCACAGCUUCCCCCCCCCCCACACCUCUCCAUUUGAAACUCCAAAUAUAUGCCUAAAGUGUCCCCUCUUCUUUCUCCGUGUGCAGAUGUCCUGGCUCUCAACAAAGGCACCAGACAGGAUUGUUUUUUCUCUUGCAUAAGCACUUCCCGAUGUCCACUACACUCUUUUCUCAAUCUUCUCCAGUCUUUUGCAAACUGUGAUGUUCAGAUGUCCUAUAAGCCUGACUUCCUGAUGUCCACUACACUCCGUUCUCAACCUUCUCCGGUCUUCUGCAAACUGUGAAUGCCUCCUUGUGUUGGAUUCAUGAUGUUCACCAUACUGCACGGCCUACUUUUUUCUUCGCAAGCUAUGGAAAGAAACUCUGUUCAGCUCAUGAAACGGACUGUUCACAUUUUUUGACUUUUGUGGAGGAAGCAGGGUA